rnacentral:rRNA from 1 species
UACGGAGGGGGGCUAGCGUUGUUCGGAAUUACUGGGCGUAAAGCGCACGUAGGCGGCUUUGUAAGUUAGAGGUGAAAGCCUGGAGCUCAACUCCGGAAUUGCCUUUAAGACUGCAUCGCUAGAAUUGUGGAGAGGUGAGUGGAAUUCCGAGUGUAGAGGUGAAAUUCGUAGAUAUUCGGAAGAACACCAGUGGCGAAGGCGACUCACUGGACACAUAUUGACGCUGAGGUGCGAAAGCGUGGGGAGCAAACAGG